GUAGGUGAACCUGCGGAAGGAUCAUUAGUGAAUUUUAGGGCGUCUAUUUGUUUAGAGCCUGACCCCCACUUUCUAACACUGUGCACUCAUUGGCGGGAGAAAAAAGGAUUUCUUCGGGAAUCUCUUUUUAUCCUGCGGCUUACUAUUUAAACACCAGUCAAAGUAUGUAACGAAAUAUCGAAAUAAAAAAAAACUUUCAACAACGGAUCUCUUGGCUCUC
rnacentral:misc_RNA from 1 species